rnacentral:rRNA from 1 species
GGGCGAGUGAGCGGUAAAAGCUCAAAUUUGAAAUCUGGUACUUUCAGUGCCCGAGUUGUAAUUUGUAGAAUUUGUCUUUGAUUAGGUCCUUGUCUAUGUUCCUUGGAACAGGACGUCAUAGAGGGUGAGAAUCCCGUUUGGCGAGGAUACCUUUUCUCUGUAAGACUUUUUCGAAGAGUCGAGUUGUUUGGGAAUGCAGCUCAAAGUGGGUGGUAAAUUCCAUCUAAAGCUAAAUAUUGGCGAGAGACCGAUAGCGAACAAGUACAGUGAUGGAAAGAUGAAAAGAACUUUGAAAAGAGAGUGAAAAAGUACGUGAAAUUGUUGAAAGGGAAGGCAUUUGAUCAGACAUGGUGUUUUUUGCAUGC